rnacentral:misc_RNA from 1 species
UCUGUUUACACGCGGACUUCCUCUCCGAAUUGUCAUGAUUGGUACACUAACUGGAGCACAAUGGGGUAUUUAUGAUGCAUUCAAAGUCAUGGUUGGCCUACCGACCACUGGUGGAGUUGCUCCUGCUGCUUUGCCGCCCCCUGAAGUCGCACCUCAGUGAUUCAUCAUUCAGAUGGUUUCCUUAGAGAAGCCAAUAAUAGAGACAUGGAAUCUUGAUUUGUUUUGGAUCAGUGUGAUAUUUUUUUGCAGAGAGACAAAUACCAUAUGUUUGCCUAAUAUUGGUGGGAUGGUUUUGCUCUCAUCCUUCUGACCUGAGUAAUUUAAAAUCGUAUUAGGCAAGAGAGUAGUCAUAAAUAAGUUGCAG